GUUAGGGUGGGGGUGGAGCACCAGCCCACCGACAGCAGCCGCUUUGGCCUGGGAGCCGGCGGCCCGGGUGUGGACGCGAGAAUGCCCCGCGGGCCCCUGCACUUGUCUGACACAAAUCAGGCUGACUAGGCUCAGGGAAUGAAGUAAAAGUUCCGGAUGCUUGAAGACCCUGAGUAGCCACCUUGCCCGAGCGAGACGCUGGCUGGUGGAGCGGCCUCCAGGGCUGCCGGAAAUGGGAGGAAGCCCUCGCAGGGGGUCCUGCGGUUCUAGCUUUUGUACCGCCCCGCCUAGGCCAGUCGGGAGCUGACGCACCCGCUCCCCAGAGACGCUGGGGGCGUCGCACUGCAGCUGGGUGGGGAGCAAUUUAUUCCUGGCGGUCACAUCCCACCCCAUCUUCUGUUACUCCACCCUACCCCUCCCAUCCCUCCACCUCUUCCUCCUCCUCUUCUACCAACGCCCGCACUAUUUUCUGAUUCUUUUUCUCCUCACCCUCCAUUCUCCCUCUCUCCCUUUCUUUUCCUCUCUCCCUUUCCCCCUCCCCCACUCUUCCAUGUCCCUCCCCCUCCUACGAAUAACCAAGCUUUUGCCUCUAAAAGUCACAAGAUGAGAGAGAGAGAGAGAGAGAGAGAGAGAGAGAGAGAGAGAGAGAGAGAGAGAGGCCUGCGAUGACUGAAGACAGGAGGGAAUCUGGUACACCUGGGAGUGAAAACUUGAUGCUUCUGGGCCAAGAUUUGCCAGGGCCUCGCUUAAGGUGAGUACUCUGGGGACCCGAGGAGUUCCCACUAGGAAGGCUCCAAACCCCGCCCAAAUCUGAGAGACCCGCGGUAAAGCGGUUGAAUCAGGGUUGGGGGAAGAUCCGGGAAGGAGCACAGCAUAAGGGUCCCAGGCCAAGUGGGUGCUGUAGCUUGCCUUGUAGCUCCUAGCUCCGGCUCUAGCCCAGGACUGCUUCCCAGCCUGCCUGGGGAAUCCGCGACGGCUGUGCCUUCCAGUGUCUCUUCCUAUGCCGACCUUCCCGCAGCUCCCCUCCUAACAAAUCGGCGUUCAAGGGAUUCAAGGGACUCUUUGGCGUUAGGAAGUGAGAAAGUCAGCCUCUCUCUCAGAUAGUGAAAGGGAAAGUUUGGCAAGGUGGAACUCUCUGGUGCUACUGUUCCCUCGAACCUAACCAAGGAUUCCCAGGUAGCGCAGAAUAUUGCUAUUUUUCUUUUUUAAAAAGAACGACUUUAACGAAAAUUCGUAUGUAGUCAAAAAGAUUAUUGGAUCACUAUGACUGAUCAGCUGCUGCUGACCUACCAAUAAGCGUUUUAAAAUACACACGUACAUUCAUGCGUGCCCCCUACACGCAAACACACUCGGGGGGUUAUGAGUAAUGAGUCAGACAGCUCUAAGUUACCAAGAAUUAAGUGGGAAUCUAAAGGUUUUUUUUUAAUGUUAUGCACGUAUGCUCUAUUUGUGUGCACAUUCGAGGAGGGGGAUGCUGAAGGAGCAUUCGUUGGCUGGGCAUUUUCUCCGUGCCUGUGUGUUGCGUGUGUUGUCAGCUGGCUCUGGUUUCUAAGCACCGAGAGUUGCCAAAGCUGGGGCCAGCAUCCACCUUGGCACCCUAGUGGCAGAACAGGACUCAUUUGUUUGGUGCAGAGCGGUGAGGACCUGGAAGAGGCUGGAGUGUAGUUAGGUCGGCCCCCUGCCAUCUAUUACACCUGCGGCAGAUGGCUCAAGUGGUAGAGCGGUUUUGUUUGCCAGGAUCAAGAAGGGAGGAGGAGGAGAUUCAUCCUCGCCCCACUCAAAAGAAGUACCGUAAAGAACCAGAGAAAUAAAAGAAGCCACGUCCAUGCCAUCAAAAGCAACAAUGCUGUCCCCUCCCCUGAGUUAUUCUGGGCAGUUAGUGACCUUGAUUCCUGGUCCCAACAGAUAUCCUGGCAGAAUUUUACGAAUAUAUUUUUGAUCAAAUGUUUUCUCUACGCGCGCGCGCGCACACACACACACAAGCACACACACAAGCACACACACACACACACACACACACACACACACACACACACACACACACACACACACAGGUGUAUGCACACAGGUGUCCUUGGAGCUGAAGGGAAUGCCACUCAAAAUCCAGGAAGUCCCUUUUCUUCCCAAGAGCUUCCUUCACUCAGACUGCCAACUCACGCAGAAAGACCCCUCCCUAGACGCCCGGCUAGCUGGGAUUUAAGCAGGCUCCAAAUGUAUCACUCUCAUUUUUACAUAGAGUGACGAUCCUUUCUGAUCAAUAUUCUCAUCCUUGCAUCCUUUCCUUCAUGUUACUCAACAAGCAGGGAAAGAAGUAAACACACACUCCCUGGUGACAGUGAAACAUGGACAGAUGUGACAAAGAGCGCACACAGUCUAUGAAGCUGUCUGUUUUCAAUUGUUUAAUUCUAUACUGAAGCCCAGAGUGAAGAGAGAACUAUAUCAAGGGACACCAAAACACAGCAGGACUCUGUCUGUACCCUUGCUCCACACAAGUCACUAUAAUCACAGACAUCUAUGUUUUAUAGCAAAUAUUUUCAUGUUUCUUAUGAGGUAAAUUAUUAUGCUGAUCUGAUUCUCUAAUGUAAAUCAAGUAAAUUUCCUUUGCCCAGGAUAUACUAUGCUAACUUGUUGGGAUGGUUGGUAUGUAGCUGCAGAGAAAUUCCACCAUUUUGGAGCACACAUUCUAUUAUUUUUCACUUAAGGCCAAAUGAUGUUUAGAAUUCUACCAAAGAAGAUGAAACAAAAAUCCAUUCUAGUUUUGGUUUGGGGGUCACAAAUAAGACACAUUCUAAAACCCCCACACAGAAAGGGGAAAACAUAAAAAACAAAACCACACUGCCAUUUUCCAAGAUUCCGGAAAGAAUCCUGUCAAUUCCGGAAGAAUCCUGUGAACUAGGUUUCUCUGGCUGGGUACUUACAUGCACCAUGUAAUUUAAUUAUUCUGCAAUCAUUUGCCUUCCCUAGGAGGGUUUUCAUUUUCCAAGGAGAAACUUUAAUAUACAGUAAGCUAUAAGGAUCGUUGAGAUGAAUAUAAGAAUAGUCCUGCCUUUUAUUCAGAAUUAGUAAUAUGAGUUUACUCACACAUCAGACAAAUAGCUAAGGGUCUGUUCUAAGGUGUGAGUGCAUGUAUUACCAAACCCACUACUAUCUACUUGCAGAAAAAUUAGAACAAGAAUACUGCAACCAUAAAAAUGAGAUGGGUCUUCUUGAACUUUUAAGAGUUUUUUUAAAUAAAAAAACCCAGAAAGACAACUGUUUUAAAACCUGCUUUUAGGGACACUAUGAGCAUCCUGUUUUAUUUAAAGAAAAAAGAAAUUAUCAAACUUUUACAAUUCUGAAGAAUGAAGACAAUAAUUUAGCCCAACCAAUGCUGCUUCUCCUCCCCUUUUCUGAUUUAAACAUGUUAGACCCUAGUUUCAACCAGUGUUCUAAACCUAAGAAUAAGAAUUUCCAAUAUGAACUCGUGACCUUUGAAUUAACAGGUGAAUUUAUUGUGUGUGUUUUUUUUAAAUCUGGGGUUUGAGAACAAAUGACAUUUUAAAUUGAAACCUCAGAGACUCCAACUAGUUCAAAUGAUGCAGUGUUUUAAGGGAAAGGAAUCUGCCUUCAUAUUUUAACAGGACAGUCCCGAAUCACAGUAAGAUUUCAAAGGCCCCUGCCCGCUCAGAACCUGGCACAAGGAAAGGAAAAGUGUAGAGUAAGAGGGCAUGCUGGGUCCCCUCCCUCUUCCACUCGCCGCUGGGACCACCUACAUCACAUGCUUUCAUAUGAAAUGGCUAUUUGGUUUUACAGAAAAGACUCAUGAGACGAAAUCUAGAAUAUGCAAUAUGCAAAUUGUACUCAGCCACACUUUAUAUAAAAUACAUACAUACAUAUAUAUUAACAUAUCUACUUUGAUACACAUGUUCUUGUGUGUGCUUAGGUCUCAAAAAACAUCGCCAUCAUUCCAAGUUUGUCUUAGCUUGAGGAAUUAAUAAGGUUAUAAUCCCUUUUUUUUUUUUUUUUAAAAAAAAAAAAAAGGUACCAAAUGUUUUCUGGAUGCAGUGCAAUGAGGUAAAGCCAUUUAGCACCCAGAAGGGCUCAACCAAUUUACAGGCCUUUGGCGGUGCCAGGUAUUUUUAAAGAUAGUCUUCAAUUGGCGCUGAAAUAGGUGUGGUGGUGAAGAAUAAAUUAUAUUAAUAAGCUCAUGUAAAUUGGGAUUCGAUAUUUGUUUGCAUAUCAUAAAACCAAAGAACUGUGAUCAACUGCAUUUGCAGGUCCCUAGGGUUCCCAGAAGAAAGGGCCUUCGGCUGGAUGUUUUGUGUGUUGCCUGUGUGAUCAGGCCCCUUCUGCAGCCCCCCCCCCCCGCCCCCAGAGCCCUCUAGAAACUAUAGCUUUGUCUUUCCUAGUGCAGAAAUGGCUAGAGAGGUCCCAAGAGCCUUAAACACAAAGCUAUUGAAGCUCCCCAAGCCCAGAGAAUUCAGGUUCUCCGGGUCAGGGCCGCCCCGACGGCCCAAGCACGGUCCUCAAGGGGCCAGUAGGUGUCGCUGUUUCCCUGCUGGCAGGAGCCUGGAGCCCGACGUUGGCCCCUAGCACCACUCAGCUUUCGGCCCCGGGUGCUUUCCCAGACUCCUCUGAACUCCAGGGUUGUGAACGCUCCCACAUUGUUUUUCCCCCUAAACCCUGUCCUGGCUCACCUGGCCAGGGCCACAGCAACAGUGGUCGACCUAAGGGAACAUCUAUGGAGAGAAAAACGAGAGACUAAUUUGGUAGGGCCAAAAGGCCACCCCUACGGAAUAGGCUGAAAGCCUGCUUCAUCUGCCUCCCAUGCUCCUUUCUCUUCACAGGCCGAGGGUGGCAAAGGUCUAUGGGGAGCACCCUGGUAAAACCCAAAAUUUGAAGAAUUCAGACACGGUUUUACUUUGACUUUGAAAAAUAAACAAGAGGUUCACAACUAGCUUUGCGGGACCUAGUCACAGAAAGAGUUUUCAUAUCCUAGUCUCAAAAGACUAUGAAGGAGGUUGGGAGGAGGGGGCAGAACGCUAGGCCUGGACCAUGAGCUACCUAUGUUUUUGCCCACAUGCCUGUGCGCAGUGUCGGGUGAACGCACUGGCCAUCCUUUGCUCUGACCCAGAAAGAAAAAUUUGAAGUACCCUAGUCUCCCCCACCGCCCUCCCUAAAGCAUUGCUUACUAGGCAUUAAUCUCCCUUGGAUAGGGUUAGCCUAUCUUUGCAAUCUGUAUUAAAAUUCUAGGUAUUGAGAAUUCUGCUCCUUUAUUUGACGUCCUGCGGGCCCCUGGCUUUGGCUCAGUAUACCGCGUAAGCGAUUAUUAACCAGAGGCGUUCUUUUUGUGUCUGGCAGGGGGAGGGGGGAUUUGGCUUGCAGAUUCCAAGAGAGACACUUAACAAUGGUUACAUCCUAUAGAUGGCUGGAGAUUUUAUUACGAUCCGGAUUUCUAUGCAUAGGGACCCCACUGCUCUGAGGGAGAAGGUGGCUGGGGGAGAUGGCAUGAAACACCCUAAAUUCAGUCUUGCACAGUCUCAAGAGGUGUUAUGGAAGUGGAAUCAGCUUUGUAUUUAAUGCGAGUCUAAAAAUAAUGUCUGCGGUCAAGAGUUUGCUGUAAUUUUUUUAAAGACCCAUGCUGCUGUGUUUUGUGUAAAAGUGAAACAUUCACAAAGACGAAAUAUGAAAUUCGCAAAUAGAAGGCAGAGGAAAACUUCGCACUUAAGGUGCCAAAUAUAUUGGGAUAAUUUCCCUGUAAUGUCUAGGCUGAGGCAUUUCCCUCUCAGGACCAGAAGCACAAGAGGCUACGUAUUCAAAGAGAAGCUGACUUUUUAGCCAGAGUUAGCAAAUAUCUUCAUUAAAUGUCACGCCUUUGCUGUUCCAUAAAAUAGACGCCUUCCUUUAAAGUCUUAUGUCUGUUAUACAAUUUUAAAUAAUCAUUUCUGAUCCAGACAGCAGAUUUAUCUCUGGGGGUGGGGUAGGACGAGCACGUGUCUAAUUGUAGGUUGUGAAGUUCAGUGAGGUGGUAUUUUUAGCUUGAAAUGCUCAGAUUCAUAUAUUUGGAUGUUUCUUCCGGUCUCAUCCUUUCUGUUUUUCCCCCUGAUUCACUCAACCCUUUCUCUCAUUUUCCGCUCUUUUUUGUCUCUGUCUUCCUUCUCCCCUCUACAGCGCCUCUCGUCCUUUCCUUUCACUUCUUCUCUUUCUCGCCUCUUUUCUUUCUCUUUCCCGCUCGCCCCCUUUCUUGUAUAAUUUAUUGUCUGAUUCUAUCAGUCAAGUUAAUAUGAAACUAGCAAGAGGGAGGCCCAUUACCCUUAUCUGGCCCUCUCCCCGAAGCGCUUAUGAGACUUAGGGAGCUGUCGGUAGCUGUCAGGUUAUGGACCAGAGCGGCGGCCCUAGGUGCAGAGUACUCUGCCUGUGGAAGAGUUGGGGUCCGCCUGGGGUUGCGGGGCUUAUUCAAAUACCGCCCGCUGCUGUCGUGAUUCGCAGGGACUCGGCCUCCAUAUGACGCCUAAAGGAGCCUGUUUGUGUGCUGUUGCCACGUUCUGCUGUGCCUGGGUCUUGUCUUCUGCCUGUAGCUUCGAUUUCGGUCCGGCUGGAUUUGGGGGACAACACUGCCUGUCGCAGGGACAUCAAGUGAGACUUCAAAGAAGCAUAAAAUGAAUAGACUAUUCAAUCAAACAAAGUUUCAGAGGCUUACUCCAUUAUCAUCAUGUCUGGGAGCAUGGCAGAAGUCAAGAAGGCUUGGCGCUGGGACAAUAGUUAAGAGUUUACAUCUGAUCUAAAAGGAGGUAUGUGUGUGUGUGUGUGUGUGUGUGUGUGUGUGUGUGUGUGAGAGAGAGAGAGAGAGAGAGAGAGAGAGAGAGAGAGAGAGAGAGAGAGAGACAGAGAGAGACAGACAGAGAGAGAGAGACAGAGAGAGAGACAGAGACAGAGAGAGAGACAGAGGCAGAGACAGAGAGAGAGAGAGACUGGGCCUGGCUUGGGCUUUUGAAACCUUAAGGCAUACCCACAGUGAUACACUUCCUCUAACAAGCCCACAUCUCCUAAUCCUUUCCCAAACAGUGCACAAACCAGUUACCAAAUAUGCAAAUUUAUGACCCUAUGGGGGCUGUUUUCAUUCAAAUCACCAUGAGGGGUAACUGCAAUUUAUUACCAGCUGUCUCAGUUCCCCUCUUGAAGAGUAACUGCAUUUUCUUGAGCUUUGGAAAAAAGCUCUAAUGUUGAAGUUGGAAUCACUUUGCUUAUGUGAAAGGUUCUCAAUUUAUAGGUGUAUUGGACUUUGAAACAUUUUUCAGCUAUUUCCGAUCUUUAUGUACCUAUGAUGUCAAAGGCACACUAAGACCUAAUUCAAAGCAUAAAUCAUGGUACUUUAGAAUCUCUAAAGGUGCUACCUUUGGUGAAAACUAGGCAGAAAUUAAUAUUGUUACUUUGUGCGAAAUUCAUAUUAGGAGACUUAAAGGAAAGUUUUGAGUGGUUUCUCUCACAGAGAAUUUGUAAUUAUAGGUUAGCUCAUAAGCU
ensembl:lncRNA